rnacentral:rRNA from 1 species
AUUGAACGCUGGCGGCAUGCUUUACACAUGCAAGUCGAACGGUAACAGGGAGCUUGCUCCGCUGACGAGUGGCGAACGGGUGAGUAAUGCGUCGGAACGUGCCGAGUAGUGGGGGAUAACGCAUCGAAAGGUGUGCUAAUACCGCAUACGUACUGAGGUAGAAAGUGGGGGACCUUCGGGCCUCACGCUAUUCGAGCGGCCGACGUCUGAUUAGCUAGUUGGUGAGGUAAAGGCUCACCAAGGCGACGAUCAGUAGCGGGUCGGAGAGGAUGGUCCGCCACACGCGGACUGAGACAGGGCCCAGACUCCUCCGGGAGGCAGCAGGGGGGAGUUUUGGACAAUGGGCGCAAGCCUGAUCCGGCCAUGCCGCGUGUGUGAAGAAGGCCUUCGGGUUGUAAAGGACUUUUGUCCGGGAGCAAAUGCCUGGUGUUAAUAGCACUGGGAGCUGAGAGUACCGGAAGAAUAAGCACCGGCUAACUACGUGCCAGCCGCCGCCGUAACAC